rnacentral:tRNA from 1 species
GCCGCGCUAGCUCAGUUGGUAGAGCAGCCGAUUUGUAAUCGGCCGGUCGGGAGUUCGAGUCUCUCGCGCGGCACCA